rnacentral:rRNA from 1 species
AACGAACGCUGGCGGCAUGCCUAACACAUGCAAGUCGAACGAGACCUUCGGGUCUAGUGGCGCACGGGUGCGUAACGCGUGGGAACCUGCCCUUAGGUUCGGAAUAACUCCCCGAAAGGGGUGCUAAUACCGGAUAAUGUCUUCGGACCAAAGAUUUAUCGCCUUUGGAUGGGCCCGCGUUGGAUUAGCUAGUUGGUAGGGUAAAAGCCUACCAAGGCGACGAUCCAUAGCUGGUCUGAGAGGAUGAUCAGCCACACUGGGACUGAGACACGGCCCAGACUCCUACGGGAGGCAGCAGUGGGGAGUAUUGGACGAUGGGCGAAAGCCUGAUCCAGCCAUGCCGCGUGAGUGAUGAAGGCCUUAGGGUUGUAAAGCUCUUUUACCCGGGAUGAUAAUGACAGUACCGGGAGAAUAAGCACCGGCUAACUCCGUG